UUAGACGUUACAGAGAACCCCGAACAACCCAAACUACUAAUCUUCGAUACCGCUUUAUACUCACGAUCUUGUAUCCACUGACUGUCUUGUUAGAUUAACCCAAUAAAUUUCAUUCACUCCGCAUACUCAAUCCUAUAGACACCCUUUUAAUUCUUCAUCACAGACGUAACUCGAUUUCACAAAACAGUCAAGAAUAAUCACACCCACUUUAUUAAAAUCCCGAUUCA
rnacentral:lncRNA from 1 species